rnacentral:rRNA from 1 species
AUUGAACGCUGGCGGCAGGCCUAACACAUGCAAGUCGAACGAGUGGCGGACGGGUGAGUAAUGUCUGGGAAACUGCCUGAUGGAGGGGGAUAACUACUGGAAACGGUAGCUAAUACCGCAUACCAUCAGAUGUGCCCAGAUGGGAUUAGCUUGUUGGUGGGGUAACGGCUCACAAAGGCGACGAUCCCUCGCUGGUCUGAGAGGAUGACCAGCCACACUGGAAGUGAGAAACGUGCCGGACUCCUACGGGAGGCAGCAGUGGGGAAUAUUGGACAAUGGGGGCAAGCCUGAUGCGGCCAUGCCGGGGGUAUGAAGAAGGCCUUCGGGUUGUAAAGUACUUUCAGCGGGGAGGCGUUACCCGAAGAAGAAGCACCGGCUAACUCCGUGCCAGCAGCCGCGGUAAUUC